rnacentral:piRNA from 1 species
UACUAGGUGAACCUUCGGAUGCGGUC